rnacentral:rRNA from 6 species
AAAUCGUACCCCAAACCGACACAGGUGGUCAGGUAGAGAAUACCAAGGCGCUUGAGAGAACUCGGGUGAAGGAACUAGGCAAAAUGGUGCCGUAACUUCGGGAGAAGGCACGCUGACACGUAGGUGAAGUGAUUUACUCAUGGAGCUGAAGUCAGUCGAAGAUACCAGCUGGCUGCAACUGUUUAUUAAAAACACAGCACUGUGCAAACACGAAAGUGGACGUAUACGGUGUGACGCCUGCCCGGUGCCGGAAGGUUAAUUGAUGGGGUCAGCGCAAGCGAAGCUCCUGAUCGAAGCCCCGGUAAACGGCGGCCGUAACUAUAACGGUCCUAAGGUAGCGAAAUUCCUUGUCGGGUAAGUUCCGACCUGCACGAAUGGCGUAAUGAUGGCCAGGCUGUCUCCACCCGAGACUCAGUGAAAUUGAACUCGCUGUGAAGAUGCAGUGUACCCGCGGCAAGACGGAAAGACCCCGUGAACCUUUACUAUAGCUUGACACUGAACAUUGAGCCUUGAUGUGUAGGAUAGGUGGGAGGCUUUGAAGUGUGGACGCCAGUCUGCAUGGAGCCGACCUUGAAAUACCACCCUUUAAUGUUUGAUGUUCUAACGUGGACCCGUAAUCCGGGUUGCGGACAGUGUCUGGUGGGUAGUUUGACUGGGGCGGUCUCCUCCUAAAGAGUAACGGAGGAGCACGAAGGUUGGCUAAUCCUGGUCGGACAUCAGGAGGUUAGUGCAAUGGCAUAAGCCAGCUUGACUGCGAGCGUGACGGCGCGAGCAGGUGCGAAAGCAGGUCAUAGUGAUCCGGUGGUUCUGAAUGGAAGGGCCAUCGCUCAACGGAUAAAAGGUACUCCGGGGAUAACAGGCUGAUACCGCCCAAGAGUUCAUAUCGACGGCGGUGUUUGGCACCUCGAUGUCGGCUCAUCACAUCCUGGGGCUGAAGUAGGUCCCAAGGGUAUGGCUGUUCGCCAUUUAAAGUGGUACGCGAGCUGGGUUUAGAACGUCGUGAGACAGUUCGGUCCCUAUCUGCCGUGGGCGCUGGAGAACUGAGGGGGGCUGCUCCUAGUACGAGAGGACCGGAGUGGACGCAUCACUGGUGUUCGGGUUGUCAUGCCAAUGGCACUGCCCGGUAGCUAAAUGCGGAAGAGAUAAGUGCUGAAAGCAUCUAAGCACGAAACUUGCCCCGAGAUGAGUUCUCCCUGAGACUUAGAGUCUCCUGAAGGAACGUUGAAGACGACGACGUUGAUAGGCCGGGUGUGUAAGCGCAGCGAUGCGUUGAGCUAACCGGUACUAAUGAACCGUGAGGCUUAACCUUACAACGCCGAAG